AAGUGGAAUUAUUAGAUCAUAUGGUAACUCUGUUUAAUUUUUCGGGGAAUCACCACACAUGUUUUCCACAUCAGUUGUACUACUCUACAUUUUGAUAUAACGUAGAGUUGUAAUAGGGAAGAACAUUUUGUAUUCUCUUACAAGUUAAUUUAAGCCGAUAAGCUUAAAUUCCACACAAUGGCCCAUCUCGGACCCUUGCCUCCGAGAGAUGAAGGUAAAUGAGCAUUCAGCUCAAACACCUGUGUGUUUAGCUCCCAAGAAACCUCCUGAGCAGGCCCACCUGUGAAUGACUGCAGGAGGGAGAAAUGAACACCUCCCCUCCGGAGGCUGACGGGAACCAGGAAGUGCUUGGCUUUAGUCCCGCCCCUUGUAGUAUAAAAGGAGCCCGACUGCUGCCGCAGGCAAGACGGCUCCUGGGGGCACGAGCCCACCGUCUUCUGGGUUUGGGGGCUCUCCGAAGGAAGUCGUUAUUCUUUGCCCAGCAACUCGUCUCCUGAUUAUUGGCCUGUCCUGUGGCGAGCAGUGAGAGCUUGGGCAUCCAAGGCAUCUUCUUUGGGAAAAUUAUCAAUCACACAGGUGAUGGUGUGACAGACGUUUCUCCAGCUGGACGGUGAACCCAGGAUGCGGAUCACCACAGUCUGUGCCAUGAAGUCCUCAGCGCCGCACACAGAGCCUGUGGGACCAGCCGCUCUAGAGAGUGUGCGGGGUGGAGCCUGACGUCGCCCGGAAAGAAACAGAAAUUUGAGGAUGCCAUCACCCAUUGGCUAAACAGAGGUCGGAAUGGGCACGACUGCUACGAUUACCACCAGCGCCACCACGAUGAGGAUGCUGCGAUCGGUCCCUGGAGCCCCUAGGGCUUCAGGCACGGAGCCAGCAUCAACUACGACGACUACUGACCGUCGCUCAGGCGGGCUCGGGGCCGCAGGCUCCGCACGAUGCCCGGGCUGUGUCUGCUGCGCCCGUUCUCGGUUCAUCCUUCCUACCCGCUUUCUGUGGCCACAAAGGAAGAGUUAAAGCAAAGAACGUAAAUGCCUUUCGAGGUUUCAUGCAAGUACCUAACAAUGCAUUUCAUUUAAAAAUAGAAAUAAAAACAUUUUGUUAACACA